GCGGGAGUGGCGCAAUUCGGUAGCGCAUCGGCCUUCCAAGCCGUGGGUUGCGGGUUCAAAUCCCGUCUCCCGCUUCA
rnacentral:tRNA from 1 species